AAGGGUAUAGCUUAGUGGUAAAGUGCAUGCCUAGCAUGCAUAAGGUCCUGGGUUCAAUUCCCAGUACUUCUG
rnacentral:tRNA from 1 species